CUCUCUCUCUGCCCUUCCCCUGCUUGUGAUCUCUCUCUCUCUCUCUCUCUCUGUGUCUGUCAAAAAUAAAUAAACAUUAAAAAGGAACAAUUCUUCCAACAUUGCUUAGGGUGAAGCUAAGUAGAUUUUAUUCAUUCAUUUAUUAAUUUUAAGUAGGUUUUGUUUAUUUAUUUUUUUAAUAUAAUUUAUUGUCAAAUUGGUUUCCAUAUCAUUUAUUUAUUUUUAAAUGUUUCUCUAUUUUUGAGAGAAAGAGAGAGAGAACGAGCAGGGGAGGGGCAGAGAGAGGGAGACAGAGGAUCCAAAGCCGGCUCUGUGCUGACAGUGUAGAGCCCGACACGAGGUUCAAACUCAUGAUCUGUAAGAUCACAACCUGAGCCGAAGUCAGAGGCUUAACUGACUGAGCCACCCAGGUGCCCCAUUAUUUUAAGUAGAUUUUCAAACAUAACUUGGAGAGGAGACAGAACAUAAUUUUUCAUAUGCUGGAUAAAUAGAGUUGAUAAUUUUGGUGGUUUUCAGUAACUGAGUAGAAAAGUUGAGACGGGUAGGUCUACUGUUACCACAGUAAGUGCUAGCUGGGGUGUGUCUAUUUUCUUGAAUAGAAGCUUGCUUCUAAAGAGAAAGAGUCCAGGGGGACUUAAUAAAUAGGCUCCCGGAUGCCCCUUUUUGAAUUUGGAGCAGGGAGGAAAGCUGGGUCACAGGCAGAUAAUCUUUGAGGGAGUUGCUGGGGAACUGGCCUUGGAAAUAGCCAGGCGAUGAGAGAAAACAUCCAAGGGAGACCUUGGCAGGUGGGAGGCAGUGGGGGUGGAGUAGCUAAUCUUUAGGGAAAUAGGAAGGGGAGCUGAUGGCUGAAGGGAGGCCAGGAAAACAUUUUUCUUUGCUUUGUCUGUGGCAGAGGCAGCUCUGAGCGCAAAUGUGUUCCGGAGUCUUUGUCUCCAUAGGCAAAGGGAGAUUCCCUGCCCCCUGCCCUUCCCUACUCACUCAGCUCCCAGUUUUCCAGAUCUCUUUCACUCCGUUUCGUGCUUGCUCUUUGAAGGGGAAAACUCUAGCUCGUCCGAUAAAUGAAGGCGUUGCAUUUUUAGAAGGCUUCUUGCAAACAUCUCUUUCCUCCGGAGUAACACAAAUGAAUUUUAAAAGAGGGUCUCUGUAAAGUCUGCCUGAAUUCCAAGGUGUGCCUAAAAUCGGGAACUGGCAACACUGCUCAUCAUCGUUCUGUGGCUCUCAAAUCAUUUGGAGACGGAGGUGAAGUUCAGAGAGGCUGGUAAGCUGCCAGAGGUGGGUGCAACAGUAUCUCCGUCUGACAUGUUCUUCUAGAACAGGUCAGCCAACUUUUCUAUAGCGAGUGGUAAAUAUUUUAGGCUUUGUGGCCCAUGCGGUCUCUGGUCCCACACAUGUAACUCUGCCAUUGUGGCAAAGCCAGACACAACCUGUAAAUGAGCGGGCAUGGCUGUCUUGGAGCGGGCAUGGCUGUGAGCUACAUUUGGUCAAUCCCCUCGCUGGAGCUUUGCCACUUCCUGUCAAGAGGUGGAGUCUAGUUCCCCUCCCUUUGAAUCCGGGGGUGGAGAGGGGGUGUAUGAUUUGUUUGUGACUAAGGGGGUGUGAAGGAAGUGACACUAUGACCUCUGAGGCCAGAUCAGAAAAUGUGAUGCAAUUUCUACCUCACUCCCUGGGACAGCUGCCUGCCUGAAGUCUGAGCCACUACGGAGGGGGUCCAGUUGUCCUGAGGCCGCCACCUGUAAGGAAGCCCACCCCGGCCAUGUGGAAAGAUCACACAGAGAAGCCUUGAGACUAUAAGGAGAGAGAGAGAGAGAGAGAGAGAGAGAUGCUGAACCAACCCCCAGUUGUUCUGGUCCUCCACCAGACUGCAGGCUGGGAGAGACCCUGAACCCGAACUCCUCAGCACAAGAUGUCCCCAAAUUCCUGGCCUAGCAACUGAGGAAUAACAAGAUGGUUGCUGUUGUUUCAAGGUACUAAGUUUUGGGGUGACUUGUUAACCUGGAAAUAAACAGAAUGUUGCCCUCAAACUAGUGAGUGGCAUAUAUGGGGUUAACCUAGGUUGUCCUGCCCACUACCCGCCCCCCCCAUGUGUUUUUUCCAUUACACGAUUGCUUCCAGCAGCCCUUUUUGGGGGGGGAAAUGUGGUAAAAUAUACAUAAAACACAAAAUUUACCAUGUUAACUAUUUUUAAGUGAGCAGUUUGAUACAUACAUUCACAUUGUUGUAUAACCAGUCUCCAGAAUUUUCGUCUUGCAGAACUGAAACUCUGUCUCCAUAAAACAACAGCUCCUGGUUCUUUCCUCUCCCCCUGCCCCUGGUGACAGCCAUUCCACUUUCUGUCCGUAUGAAUUUGACCACUCAAAGCCCGUCAUGUAAUCGGAAUCAUGUGGUGUUUGUCUCUUUUGUGACUGGCUUGUUUCAUUCGGUGUCUGUGGUGUGUGUGUGUGUGUGUGUGUGUGUGUGUGUUUAUAUAUUUGUAUAUUUUAAGCCUACACUGGUCACGGAGUCUGACCAGCAAGUAGCAAAGGUUUGUCAAGGAAAAAUGUCAGAGAUUUUAGGUCCUGUAAGUCACAGAUGCAACAUGUCCCAGGAGGGACCUUGCAGUGGCACUUCCUCUAACAAUGACAAUUCAGUGUCCUGCCUCUAAAGGGCUUUGAAGAAAGAGGAACCCAUGAAUCAAGAAUAAGAUAAGGCUGUUUGAUUUGUUUCAUCAUGCCUUGAGAAUGAAAUCACUUUCUAUCACCCGGCCUUUCAGAGCAUCAAACACAAACACUCACUGAUCCUUUAUUUCCUCUGCAUCUGUGGACUUGGUGGAAUUUCUGUGAGCAUCUGGGAAUUACAGAUGAAGCAAAACCCCUUCUGCAGGGGAUUAGGUCUGAGGAAGGUGGGCCUUACGUGCUGUUGCUUGCUUACACAGACUAACACUGAACCUUUGGGGGCUACUUUGACCUUCUUUCUCUGCCUUCCUCCCAGCCCUGACCUAAGACCAAAGGCAGCGCUGGGCCAAGGUGCACACUCUUAAAGUCGACGGCCUGGCCUUCUUCUCCGCUACACUCACCCUAAUUCUACCUACCCUGCCUGUGACACCAAGAUAGAAUGGAAGCAACCUUCUGCAAUCUCCCAGGGCCCCCAUCCACUGUUAUGGGCUGAGUUGUGUCUCCUACUCCCAACCCCAAAUUCAUAUGUUGAAGUCCUGACUCUUGGUACAUUAGAACGAGUGUAUUUUGGAGACAGGGUCUCUCAAGAGGUGAUUGAAUGAAAAUGAGGUCAUUAGGGUUGGCCCAAAUCCAAUAAGACUGGUGUCCUUAUAAGAAGGGAGAGAGGGACCUGGGGCACAUGUUCACAGAGGAAGGACCACGUGUGGACGGACACAGGGCGAAUGUGGCCGUCUGCAAGCCAAAGCGAGAAACCUCCGAAGAAACAACCUGCCCACACAUUGACCUUGGACUUCCAGCCUCCAGAACUGUAAGAAAAUACGUUUCUAUUGUUUGAGCCACACCAUCUGUGAUACUUUGUUAUGGCAGCUUCAGCAAAUUAAUACACCCACCAACAGAAGUUUCGCAGCCUUGAGGUUGGGACCUCAGCCCAGAAAUUCUGAAGGUAAUAAUCAAAAACUCAAAAGGCAAGAAAGCCUUAUAAUUCAGUUCCUCUUUCUGCAUCUUUCACAAGCGGCCUGCUGGCAGGUUUGGAAGGUGGCGCUGGAGACAGCCUGGAAUGAGCAAGCCCAGUGGGGUUGGAGGCUCCUGGCUCAGAAGAGGAGGGACUGAGAUUCAGAAGGCUUCACCCGGCUAAGGGAUCCAGCUCACAAGUUCAUCCUUACAAGGAUUUUCAGUUCUGCUAACAACACCUCUCUCUGUGGUUCUUGAAGGCUCUGGUGUAGGAAGAGUCACCAAAAACAAGCGGACGUUUCUCAGCGCUUCUCAGCUGAUGGAACUGUUCCCAGCAGCCUGGUGCUCAGCCGGAGGAGGUGGCCAGCCCUCAGCUGGGUGAUUCCAUUCCCCAGUCACUGCUUGGUCCAGGCGGCUCUGGUAUUUUUCCUCCCUUCUCCCGGGGCGGCCUCCAGAGCACCCAGACAGCCGCGGCCACAUCCCGCUGCUUCAGAAGCGGAAGUAAGGCGCAUUUAGGACCUUUCUGGGUGAGUGACAGCAUUUGAGAUGAGAUUAACAAAAUGCCAGCGCUUCGGGGAAACCAGACUUUCCCUGUCACCUCUUCUCCACCUUUCCCACAACACAGAAGAUGGGCCAGGCUGAUGUCGGUCUGUGCAUUCGGGUCGUGUCAGCCUCGAAUGUGAGACAGUGGGCGCUGGUGAGCUGGGUGUGAAAGGGCCCUUUGUGAGUGGGGGUCUCAGAGUGCUGGCACGGGGUGAACCUGUAUGCGACUGGCCACUCUGUGCUUGACUGCGCCACCGGGCGUGUGUGCGUGGCUCUGAAUGCAUCGCCCUGGGUGUGGGUCCCCUGAUGGCAGAUGCUCAGGGAGCCUCUGGAAUCUCAGAGAAAACAGUCAGGCUGGGCUGCUGGCUCGUCUUCUCUCAGCCAGUCAGCGCUUGGAGUGUGAUCACUUACCACCUGAAUCCCAUCAAGUUUAAGGUUUACCUUUCUUAGAAGGGAAACGCCUGUUUAUUUUACCUCCACAGAAACAGUUUAAUUUUUAAAGAUUCAAGAUGUCCCCAAAUGUCAUGAUCAAGGCUAAUUUUACAAGAACAGGGGAAACUAACGGAGGAAGAAUAUCCUGCUGCUUUUUAACCCAAGGGAGGGAUUGGUCAUAAUAUUACACCUGAUUUAGGCCAUGUGCACCUGAGGGCGUCUGUUAUGGGCUGAAUGUUGGUGUCCUCCCUAAACUGGUAUGUUGAAACUCUAAGCCCCUAAAGUGAUGGUGUUUAGAGGUGGGGCCUUUGGGAGGUGACUGGGUUUUCGUGAGGUCAUGGUAGGGGUCCUCAUAAUGGAAUUAGUGCCCUUAUAAGACGAGAUGCCAGUAUCUCUUUCUUUCUGUCUUACCACAUAUAAUGAUCAUGUGAGGACACAGCCAGAAGGCCACUAUCUGCCACCCAUGACGUGAGCCCUCACUAGACACUGACCCUUCUGGCACUUUGAUCUCGGACUUCCCAGACUCCAGAACUGUGAGAAACAAAUGUCUGUUGUAAGCCACCCAGACUAUGGUAUUUGUUACAGCAGCCCCCAAAGACGAAGACAGAAGCUCAGGAACAAAAUAAUCUCCGGGGCACCUAGGUGGCUCAGGUGCUUAAGCAUCCGACUCUGGCUCCAGUCAUGAUCUCACGGUUUGUGAGUUUGAGCCCCAUGUUGGGCUCUCUGCUGUCAGCACAGAGCCUUCUUCAGACCCUCUAUCCCCUUCUCUCUCUGCCCCUCCCCCACUCAUGUUUCCUUUCUGUCUCUCAAAAAAAAAAAAAAAGGCAAAAUAAUCAAAACUCCAAGAAAUAGACCACAAGGACCCAGGCAGCUUUCCCUGAAAAUGCUCCUCCCCAUUCCAAAAGGCAAA